GUUGUUCGGAAUUACUGGGCGUAAAGCGCACGUAGGCGGCUUUGUAAGUUAGAGGUGAAAGCCCGGGGCUCAACUCCGGAAUUGCCUUUAAGACUGCAUCGCUCGAAUUGUGGAGAGGUAAGUGGAAUUCCGAGUGUAGAGGUGAAAUUCGUAGAUAUUCGGAAGAACACCAGUGGCGAAGGCGACUUACUGGACACAUAUUGACGCUGAGGUGCGAAAGCGUGGGGAGCAAACAGG
rnacentral:rRNA from 1 species